GCGGGCGUAGUUUAAUGGUAGAACUUCAGCCUUCCAAGCUGAUCGCGCGGGUUCGAUUCCCGCCGCCCGCUUCA
rnacentral:tRNA from 2 species